rnacentral:pre_miRNA from 1 species
GUGUGUGUGUGGAUGGUGUUCAGCACCAGGGACAGGUUUGUGUGUGUAGAUGGUGUUCAGCACCAGGGACAGGUUUGUGUGUGU